CAGGGUCCCUGCCCUUCUACCCCACCCUCUUUAUUCUAGGUGGCUGUAAGCAAUUAUAAAAUAAAAAUCAAGACUACAAGAAGCCUCUACUACAAAUCUCAAGAAAUGUAAAAUCACAUGUGGAACUAGAAGACAAAAUGACAAAAGAACAAAUUUUUCAUCUUCCUGAUUUAGGGUACCAGAUUUUUAAAAGAUAGCAAAGACAAAAAAAAGCAAGAUAUUGGUCUGGUUUGUGCUGAUUAUAAUUCCUAACAGAAUUCAUGCUGUAUUAUUUCAUACAUUACCUUCUGGGAGGACCCACUGCCAACAGUAAUGCAUGGCUCAUCAAUUGAGUGGACUAAUUAGACUCUGUUAGGUUUUUCCACAUAGUCCUUCAGAUCCACCUCAAUGCAUACAAUUUACCAUCCAUAAAUCCAAGAGGCUUGUAACUGAAGGUGUAUAGCUUGCACUUUUUGGAGGGGAGAGGAUUAUAUGAAGGAAAAACUUUCCAUCACUGAAAUUAGAUACAAAUGUUAUAUUAUAUUGGAUUUAAUUGUGUUGUUCUGCAAUGUUAUUUUAUUU
rnacentral:lncRNA from 1 species